rnacentral:lncRNA from 1 species
GUACCACGUGGGCCAGGCGCCCCGCAGCCUGAUCCCUCGGCUGAGGCGGGGUCAGAGGGCUAAGGGUGACUGACUGCCCAGUGCAUGGAUCUCAGCAGCACGGCUUGACUUUCGGGCGGCAGGCAAGGAUGCUAAUCCACAAGGUUCCUGAGUCCAACAUCCCUCCCUCCAAUGUGGGGCUCGAAUCCGCUAUUGCAACCAAACCCGGGUUCUGCCCGCAGGGUGGCGCAAUGACAAGAGCCACCAGGUGACCCUGGUAACUCCCGCACCUAGACCUACAGGAGCAGUUUUUCUGCAGCACCACAUCUGUAGCCCUGCAUGCCGCUGGCUCCAGUGUUGUGUGUGUGGUCAUGCUCCAUCCAGCCCAGCAGCAACUUUGGUGUUUGACACCCCUCGGGAGGCACCGCUUUGGAAGAGACUGGUGUGUGCGGAGCCCAAGAUGUGUUGGGAACAGCUAUCGUUUCUACUGCUUUGUCCCAUGCCUCUGGAGCUCCUGGGUUCCUGAACUUCAAGCUGGGCCCCAUCCUUCACCCUAUCAGGGCCCUGGGUGGAGCUGACUUCCAACAGUAUACAGUGGGUCUUGGUACUUCCUCCUUGGCAUUCGACAGUUGGUGUUUUUGAAGUCAGAGCCAUCCUCAGUAGGCUCCUAGGGGAUCGUAAGCGGCUUUCUCUGGGUGGAAACCUACUCCAUGCAGCCUUCAGCAAAGGAUCCUACGGCUGUUGAUCCCCUCGGAAGUGAGACAUAAUGUCCCGGAGCAGAUGCUGAUGGGGACUCACUGUUGGGCCACCUGAUUUCUGUGUUCAUCUUCCCAGGCUCCACCUUUCAGAUCCCAUCCCUGGUGUCUGCAGUUACAACUUUACUAACCAGAACUUUGUUUCCAGCUUACGCUGAAAAGCAAAGGGUGACUUAGAAUAAAAAUGUAACAAAUAGCCCCAUAGCCCAAACCUUUUCUGCCAUGAUUUACUGUACCAGAUACCUAUAAGUGUCCAGGGCAAAUUAAACACAUCAAUAAAUGGCUUUCUUGUGUC